GGGGCAGUGCGUAAUGCUAUACAUGCAGUCGAGCGGACUUAAAAAGCUUGCUUUUUAAGUUAGCGGCGGACGGGUGAGUAACACGUGGGCAACCUGCCUGUAAGACUGGGAUAACUUCGGGAAACCGGAGCUAAUACCGGAUAAUCCUUUCCUACUCAUGUAGGAAAGCUGAAAGACGGUUUACGCUGUCACUUACAGAUGGGCCCGCGGCGCAUUAGCUAGUUGGUGAGGUAACGGCUCACCAAGGCGACGAUGCGUAGCCGACCUGAGAGGGUGAUCGGCCACACUGGGACUGAGACACGGCCCAGACUCCUACGGGAGGCAGCAGUAGGGAAUCUUCCGCAAUGGACGAAAGUCUGACGGAGCAACGCCGCGUGAGUGAUGAAGGUUUUCGGAUCGUAAAACUCUGUUGUUAGGGAAGAACAAGUACGAGAGUAACUGCUCGUACCUUGACGGUACCUAACCAGAAAGCCACGGCUAACUACGUGCCAGCAGCCGCGGUAAUACGUAGGUGGCAAGCGUUGUCCGGAAUUAUUGGGCGUAAAGCGCGCGCAGGCGGUCCUUUAAGUCUGAUGUGAAAGCCCACGGCUCAACCGUGGAGGGUCAUUGGAAACUGGGGGACUUGAGUGCAGAAGAGAAGAGUGGAAUUCCACGUGUAGCGGUGAAAUGCGUAGAGAUGUGGAGGAACACCAGGGGCGAAGGCGACUCUUUGGUCUGUAACUGACGCUGAGGCGCGAAAGCGUGGGGAGCAAACAGGAUUAGAUACCCUGGUAGUCCACGCCGUAAACGAUGAGUGCUAAGUGUUAGAGGGUUUCCGCCCUUUAUUGCUGCAGCAAACGCAUUAAGCACUCUGCCUGGUGAAUACUGCCGCAAGGCUUAUACUUAAUAUGAAUUGAUCGGGGGCCUGCUCAAUCGUUUGUGAUCAUGUGAUUGUAAUUUCAAAUCUAUAUUA
rnacentral:rRNA from 2 species